rnacentral:snRNA from 1 species
UCAUGUGAGGGUAAUCUGGCUUCAACAUCUGCCACCCACUGAUCGCCAGGGUUGAUUCAGCUGAUACCUGGCUACACAAGUGUCCCCUUCCUCCACUGUUCCAUAUGUAGCCCUCCUCAAGUUGAAAAAUGGGUUGAAGAGGAUGACCUUCCCUGAUAAAAGAGGACCAUUCUUUAAUCAAGGGCGUGCAAGUAGCUCUCUAAGCUCUCAAGGUAAAGGUUUCACCUGCACUGUCAGUUUUAUAAUCAAUCACUGCAAAUGGCAAGAAGCUUAAUUUCU